UACGUAGGGACCAAGCGUUGUUCGGAUUUACUGGGCGUAAAGGGCGCGUAGGCGGCAAUUCAAGUCACUUGUGAAAUCUCCGGGCUUAACUCGGAACGGUCAAGUGAUACUGCUUUGCUAGAGUGCGGAAGGGGCAAUCGGAAUUCUCGGUGUAGCGGUGAAAUGCGUAGAUAUCGAGGGGAACACCUGAGGUGAAGACGGGUUGCUGGGCCGACACUGACGCUGACAGCGCGAAAGCCAGGGGAGCAAACGGG
rnacentral:rRNA from 1 species